CGGGGUGCACCAGGCGCGAAAACUNUGCAAUGCGGGAAACCGUGACAAGGGAACUCUGAGUGCCCGUUAAAUCGGGCUGUCCAUCGGUUUAAAUAACCGGUGAAGAAAGGGCCGGGCAAGACCGGUGCCAGCCGCCGCGGUAAUACCGGCGGCUCGAGUGGUGGCCACUAUUACUGGGCUUAAAGCGUUCGUAGCUGGUUUGUUAAGUCUCUGGGGAAAUCUUCCGGCUUAACCGGAAGGCGUCUCAGGGAUACUGGCAGACUAGGGACCGGGAGAGGUGAGAGGUACUCCAGGGGUAGGAGUGAAAUCCUGUAAUCCUUGGGGGACCACCUGUGGCGAAGGCGUCUCACCAGAACGGCUCCGACAGUGAGGGACGAAAGCUGGGGGAGCAAACCGGAUUAGAUACCCGGGUAGUCCCAGCUGUAAACGAUGCGCGUUAGGUGUAUCGGUGACCACGAGUCACCGAGGUGCCGAAGAGAAAUCGUGAAACGUGCCGCCUGGGAAGUACGGUCGCAAGGCUGAAACUUAAAGGAAUUGGCGGGGGAGCACAAGGGCGAUUCGC
rnacentral:rRNA from 1 species